UAAUUUUAAACCUUAAUUAAACUUUAACUUUAAUAAAUCCUUA
rnacentral:tRNA from 1 species